CAGCAGCCACGGUAAUACGAAGGGGGCUAGCGUUGUUCGGAAUUACUGGGCGUAAAGCGCACGCAGGCGGCUCGAUAAAUUAGAAGUGAAAGCCUUGGGCUUAACCUGAGAAUUGCUUUUAAGACUGUCGAGCUAGAAUCCAGAAGAGGGUAGUGGAAUUCCGAGUGUAGAGGUGAAAUUCGUAGAUAUUCGGAAGAACACCAGUGGCGAAGGCGACUACCUGGUCUGGCAUUGACGCUCAUGUGCGAAAGCGUGGGGAGCAAACAGGAUUAGAUACCCGUGUAGUCCCUGUCUCUUAUAC
rnacentral:rRNA from 1 species